rnacentral:rRNA from 1 species
ACCCGUUCCCAUCCCGAACACGGAAGUUAAGCCCUCCAGCGCCGAUGGUAGUUGGGGCCAGCGCCCCUGCAAGAGUAGGUCGCUGCUAGGC